UGGAGAGGGAAGUGUUGCGUUCAAGCAAGUUUAUUGAAAAAUGGGUGAAUGUUGAAAGAAUGGCCAGUGUGAAAGGCCCAAUUCUGCGCACUUCAUUAAAGAAAAGGAAAAGGGC